rnacentral:rRNA from 1 species
GGGUUGUGAGGUUAAGCGACUAAGCGUACACGGUGGAUGCCCUGGCAGUCAGAGGCGAUGAAGGGCGUGCUAAUCUGCGAUAAGCGCCGGUAAGGUGAUAUGAACCGUUAUAACCGGCGAUACCCGAAUGGGGAAACCCAGUGUGACUCGUCACACUAUCAUUAACUGAAUCCAUAGGUUAAUGAGGCGAACCGGGGGAACUGAAACAUCUAAGUACCCCGAGGAAAAGAAAUCAACCGAGAUUCCCCCAGUAGCGGCGAGCGAACGGGGAGGAGCCCAGAGCCUGAAUCAGCAUGUGUGUUAGUGGAAGCGUCUGGAAAGGCGCGCGAUACAGGGUGACAGCCCCGUACACAAAAGCGCAUGUGCUGUGAGCUCGAUGAGUAGGGCGGGACACGUGGUAUCCUGUCUGAAUAUGGGGGGACCAUCCUCCAAGGCUAAAUACUCCUGACUGACCGAUAGUGAACCAGUACCGUGAGGGAAAGGCGAAAAGAACCCCGGCGAGGGGAGUGAAAAAGAACCUGAAACCGUGUACGUACAAGCAGUGGGAGCCCCACCACUAAGCCAGUGGUGAACUCCACAUACGCAUCCUUUGCUGAGGAUACGGUUAACGGAGCGAAAGCGACGUUCAACCGCAAAAGAAGCAGAGGGGGCUUAGUGGUGGGGUGACUGCGUACCUUUUGUAUAAUGGGUCAGCGACUUAUAUUCUGUAGCAAGGUUAACCGAAUAGGGGAGCCGUAGGGAAACCGAGUCUUAACCGGGCGUUAAGUUGCAGGGUAUAGACCCGAAACCCGGUGAUCUAGCCAUGGGCAGGUUGAAGGUUGGGUAACACUAACUGGAGGACCGAACCGACUAAUGUUGAAAAAUUAGCGGAUGACCUGUGGCUGGGGGUGAAAGGCCAAUCAAACCGGGAGAUAGCUGGUUCUCCCCGAAAGCUAUUUAGGUAGCGCCUCGUGAAUUCAUCUCCGGGGGUAGAGCACUGUUUCGGCUAGGGGGCCAUCCCGGCUUACCAACCCGAUGCAAACUGCGAAUACCGGAGAAUGUUAUCACGGGAGACACACGGCGGGUGCUAACGUCCGUCGUGAAGAGGGAAACAACCCAGACCGCCAGCUAAGGUCCCAAAGUCAUGGUUAAGUGGGAAACGAUGUGGGAAGGCCCAGACAGCCAGGAUGUUGGCUUAGAAGCAGCCAUCAUUUAAAGAAAGCGUAAUAGCUCACUGGUCGAGUCGGCCUGCGCGGAAGAUGUAACGGGGCUAAACCAUGCACCGAAGCUGCGGCAGCGACACUCAGGUGUUGUUGGGUAGGGGAGCGUUCUGUAAGCCUGUGAAGGUGUGUCGUGAGGCAUGCUGGAGGUAUCAGAAGUGCGAAUGCUGACAUAAGUAACGAUAAAGCGGGUGAAAAGCCCGCUCGCCGGAAGACCAAGGGUUCCUGUCCAACGUUAAUCGGGGCAGGGUGAGUCGACCCCUAAGGCGAGGCCGAAAGGCGUAGUCGAUGGGAAACAGGUUAAUAUUCCUGUACUUGGUGUUACUGCGAAGGGGGGACGGAGAAGGCUAUGUUGGCCGGGCGACGGUUGUCCCGGUUUAAGCGUGUAGGUGUGUGUUCCAGGUAAAUCCGGUUCACUUUAACACUGAGGCGUGACGACGAGGCACUACGGUGCUGAAGCAACAAAUGCCCUGCUUCCAGGAAAAGCCUCUAAGCAUCAGGUAACAUCAAAUCGUACCCCAAACCGACACAGGUGGUCAGGUAGAGAAUACCAAGGCGCUUGAGAGAACUCGGGUGAAGGAACUAGGCAAAAUGGUGCCGUAACUUCGGGAGAAGGCACGCUGACACGUAGGUGAAGUGAUUUACUCAUGGAGCUGAAGUCAGUCGAAGAUACCAGCUGGCUGCAACUGUUUAUUAAAAACACAGCACUGUGCAAACACGAAAGUGGACGUAUACGGUGUGACGCCUGCCCGGUGCCGGAAGGUUAAUUGAUGGGGUCAGCGCAAGCGAAGCUCCUGAUCGAAGCCCCGGUAAACGGCGGCCGUAACUAUAACGGUCCUAAGGUAGCGAAAUUCCUUGUCGGGUAAGUUCCGACCUGCACGAAUGGCGUAAUGAUGGCCAGGCUGUCUCCACCCGAGACUCAGUGAAAUUGAACUCGCUGUGAAGAUGCAGUGUACCCGCGGCAAGACGGAAAGACCCCGUGAACCUUUACUAUAGCUUGACACUGAACAUUGAGCCUUGAUGUGUAGGAUAGGUGGGAGGCUUUGAAGCGUGGACGCCAGUCUGCGUGGAGCCGACCUUGAAAUACCACCCUUUAAUGUUUGAUGUUCUAACGUGGACCCGUAAUCCGGGUUGCGGACAGUGUCUGGUGGGUAGUUUGACUGGGGCGGUCUCCUCCUAAAGAGUAACGGAGGAGCACGAAGGUUGGCUAAUCCUGGUCGGACAUCAGGAGGUUAGUGCAAUGGCAUAAGCCAGCUUGACUGCGAGCGUGACGGCGCGAGCAGGUGCGAAAGCAGGUCAUAGUGAUCCGGUGGUUCUGAAUGGAAGGGCCAUCGCUCAACGGAUAAAAGGUACUCCGGGGAUAACAGGCUGAUACCGCCCAAGAGUUCAUAUCGACGGCGGUGUUUGGCACCUCGAUGUCGGCUCAUCACAUCCUGGGGCUGAAGUAGGUCCCAAGGGUAUGGCUGUUCGCCAUUUAAAGUGGUACGCGAGCUGGGUUUAGAACGUCGUGAGACAGUUCGGUCCCUAUCUGCCGUGGGCGCUGGAGAACUGAGGGGGGCUGCUCCUAGUACGAGAGGACCGGAGUGGACGCAUCACUGGUGUUCGGGUUGUCAUGCCAAUGGCACUGCCCGGUAGCUAAAUGCGGAAGAGAUAAGUGCUGAAAGCAUCUAAGCACGAAACUUGCCCCGAGAUGAGUUCUCCCUGAGACUUUAGGUCUCCUGAAGGAACGUUGAAGACGACGACGUUGAUAGGCCGGGUGUGUAAGCGCAGCGAUGCGUUGAGCUAACCGGUACUAAUGAACCGUGAGGCUUAACCUUACAACGCCGAAG